rnacentral:tRNA from 1 species
GCCUCUGUAGCUCAAUGGAUAGAGCAAACCCGUCCUAAGGGUGAGAUAGGGGUUCGAUUCCCUUCAGAGGCG